rnacentral:rRNA from 1 species
UUUGAUUAUGGCUACAGGACGAACCCUGGCGGCCUGCCUAAUACAUGCAAGUAGAACGCUGAAAGGAGAGCUUCGCUCUUCUGGAUGAGCUGCCAACGGGCGAGUAACGCGUAGGUAACCUGCCUGGUACCGGGGGAUAACUAUUGGAAACUAUAUCUAAUACCGGAUAACACCAUUAACUGCAUGGUUGAUGUUUAAAAGUUGGUUUUGCUAACACUAUGAGAUGGCUUUGCGGUGCAUUACCUAGUUGGUGGGGUAAAGGCCUACCAAGGCGACGAUGCAUACCCGACCUGAUACGGUGAUCGGCCACACUGGGACUGAUACACGGCCCAGACUCCUACGGGAGGCAGCACUACGGAAUCUUCCGCAUUGGGCGAAAGCCUGACUGAGCAACGCCGCGUGAGUGAAGAAGGAUUUCGGUUCGUAAACCUCUGUUGUUAUGGAAUUAAUGAUUGUGUACUAACUAUACACACUAGACACCGUACCUACCCAUAAAUCCACGGCUAACUACCUGCCACCACCCGCGGUAAUACUUAUGUGGCAAGCGUUGUCCUGAAUUAUUGGGCGUAAAGCGCGCGCAGGUGGUUUAAUAAGUCUGAUGUGAAAGCCCACGGCUCAACCGUGGAGGGUUAUUGGAAACUGUUAAACUUGAGUGCAGGAGAGAAAAGUGGAAUUCGUAGUGUAGCGGUGAAAUGCGUAGAGAUUAGGAGGAACACCAGUGGCGAAGGCGGCUUUAUGGCCUGUAACUGACACUGAGGCGCGAAAGCGUGGGGAGCAAACAGGAUUAGAUACCCUGGUAGUCCACGCAGUAAACGAUGAGUGAUAAGUGUGGGUCUCAUAAGAGAUCAGUGAUGCAGCUAACGCAUUAAGCACUCCGCAUGGGGAGUACGACCGCAAGGUUGAAACUCAAAGGAAUUGACGGGGACCCGCACAAGCGGUGGAGCAUGUGGUUUAAUUUGAAGCAACGCGAAGAACCUUACCAAGUCAUGACAUAACGUGAGGACACAAGAGAGUGUGUUGUUGUGACAUUUGGUUAGACACAGAUACAGGUGGUGCAUGGUCGUCGUCAGGUAGUGUCGUGAGAUGUUGGGUUAAGUCCCGCAACGGGCGCAACCCUUAUAUGUAGUUGCCAGCAGUAAGAUGGAGACUCUAGAUAGACUGCCAGUGAUAAAAUGGAGGAAGGUGGGGAUGACGUCAAAUCAUCAUGCCCCUUAUGACUUGGGCUACACACGUGCUACUAUGGAUAGGAACAAAGAGAAGCGAGCUCGCGUGAGUAAGCAAACCUCUACAAAACUAUUGUCAGUUUGGAUUGUAGUCUGCUACUCGAGUACAGGAAGCUGGAAUCGCUAGUAAUCGCGUAAUCAGAAAUGUGGCGGUGAAUACGUUCCCG